GACGAACGCUGGCGGCGUGUCUAAUACAUGCAAGUAGAACGCAGUUGCGAACGGGUGAGUAACGCGUAGGUAACUGCCUGGUAGCGGGGGAUAAAUAUUGGAAACGAUAGCUAAUACCGCAUACUUCCAGAUGGACCUGCGUUGUAUUAGCUAGUUGGCGGGGUAACGGCUCACCAAGGCAACGAUACAUAGCCGACCUGGGAGGGUGAUCGGGCACACUGGGGCUGGGGAAAGGGCCAGACUUCUACGGGAGGCAGCAGUAGGGAAUCUUCGGCAAUGGACGGAAGGCUGAACAAGCAACGGCGCGUGAGUGAAGAAAGUUUUCGGAUCGUAAAGCUCUGUUGUAAGAGAAGCGGUAUCUAACCAGAAAGGGACGGCUAACUACGUGCCAGCAGCCGCGGUAAUAC
rnacentral:rRNA from 1 species